rnacentral:lncRNA from 1 species
GAAAGGAGAGCAGCCAGUGUGUGCUUCCUGGAGUGCCUGCAAGCCCCAAUAUCCACACAUGGACUAGGAGCGAGACUGGGAAUGGGAAAGCCAUGCUGGAGAUUGGGAGCAUCAUGUCUGCAAGAAUUGCUUCAACAGAACUAAAAGAAAUAUUCUAGACUGACAAUACAAUGAGACAGCAAAGGACAAAGUGGUAAAGAUGGUGUAGUAGAAAUGCUAAGUCAUGUCUUGAAACAGUGAUUGAGCACCUGCUGGGAAGACAGGGCCAACACAGGAUUGCUCAGGAGCAUGCAAUGCACCUGAGUGCAGGAUCCACCCCUUCCCAGACCUCAUUUAAGGGUUGGCAGUAGAGGCCAGAGGAUCUCUCUGGGGGUCCUUGCAUACCUGAGGCUUUCUGAAGGCUAUCAAAUGCAUCAUCUCUAGAAAGGACGUGGACGGAUGCGUGUGCAACACCUCCC